rnacentral:rRNA from 1 species
CAGCCGUUGAAACUGCCGGGCUCGAGUGGGCGAGAAGUAUGCGGAAUGCGUGGUGUAGCGGUGAAAUGCAUAGAUAUCACGCAGAACCCCGAUUGCGAAGGCAGCAUACCGGCGCCCUACUGACGCUGAGGCACGAAAGUGCGGGGAUCAAACAGGAUUAGAUACCCUGGUAGUCCGCACAGUAAACGAUGAAUGCUAGCUGUCCGGGGGGAUUGACCCCUGGGUGGCACAGCGAAAGCGUUAAGCAUUCCACCUGGGGAGUACGCCGGCAACGGUGAAACUCAAAGGAAUUGACGGGGGCCCGCACAAGCGGAGGAACAUGUGGUUUAAUUCGAUGAUACGCGAGGAACCUUACCCGGGCUCAAACGCCGAAGGGACAUUCCCCGAAAGGGGAAUGGCCAGCAAUGGUCUUCGGCGAGGUGCUGCAUGGUUGUCGUCAGCUCGUGCCGUGAGGUGUCGGCUUAAGUGCCAUAACGAGCGCAACCCCCACCGACAGUUGCUAACUGGUCAAGCAGAGGACUCUGUCGGGACUGCCGGCGCAAGCUGCGAGGAAGGCGGGGAUGACGUCAAAUCAGCACGGCCCUUACGUCCGGGGCGACACACGUGUUACAAUGGCAGGUACAGCGGGAUGCCAUGGGGCGACCCAGAGCGGAACCCGAAAACCUGUCUCAGUUCGGAUUGGAGUCUGCAACCCGACUCCAUGAAGCUGGAUUCGCUAGUAAUCGCGCAUCAGCCACGGCGCGGUGAAUACGUUCCCGGGCCUUGUACACACCGCCCGUCAAGCCAUGGGAGCCGGGGGUGCCUGAAGGCCGUGACCGCGAGGAGCGGCCUAGGGUAAAACUGGUGACUGGGGCUAAGUCGUAACAAGGUAACCGUAA